rnacentral:lncRNA from 1 species
AAUUGUUAAAUUAAUAAAUAUAAUUAUUAUAGUUUAUUCCUACUUUUAUUAAGCAUAACAUAAGAUUUUGUGAUAUCCACUAGUGUAAAUAUUUUAAAUUGAAGAUCGAAUUCAUUCUUUGUAUUCAUAUAGGGUCAAGGAGUGUAGCUGUAAAAAAUCAUCAAAAUCGGAGUUAAAAUAACCGUUAAAUCAUGAUUUUCAUUUUAUAACCGUUGAAAAGUUUUGUCCCGUUACUUGAUCUCUGAAUGUUUGUUUUUUGCAAUUUUUGGCGUAUGCGAUCUCAAAGUAUAUACAAACAUGUUUGACGGUUGGAUCUAGUUUCGUAGAAUGCGUGUAUCUCAUCAAAAUAAUAGAUUCACUAACACUUAAAAGUUUAUUCGUACUUUCAUCAAGUAUAACAUAAGAUUUUUUUGUAUCCACUAGUGUAAAUAUUUUAAUUAAAGAUCGAAUUCAAUCAUUGUAUUCAUAUAGGUCAAGGAGUGUAGCUGUAAAAAAUCAUAAAAAUCAGAGUUACAAUGACCGUUAAAUCGUGAUUUUUCUUUUUAUAACCGUCGAAAAGUUUUGUCUCGUUCCUUGAUCUCUGAAUGUUUGUUUUUUUGCAAUUUUUGGCGUAUGCGAUCUCGAAGUAUAUACAAACAUGUUUGACGGUUGGAUCAUUGAAACUAGUUUCGUAGAAUGAGUAUCCCAUCAAAACAAUAGAUUCACUAAUACUUAAGAGUUUAUUCAUACUUUCAUUAAGUAUAACACUAGUGUAAAUAUUUUAAAUUGAAGAUCGAAUUCAUUCAUUGUAUUCAUAUAGGGUCAAGGAGUGUUGCUGUAAAAAAUCAUCAAAAUCGGAGUUAAAAUAACCAUUAAAUCGUGAUUUUUCGUUUAUAACCGUCGAAAAGGUUUGUCCCGUUACUUUAUCUAUGAAUGUUUUUUUUUGCAAUUUUUAGCGUAUACGAUCUCGAAGUAUAUACAAACAUGUUUGAUGGUUGGAUCAUUAAAACUAGUUUCGUAGAAUGAGUAUCCCAUCAAAACAAUAGAUUCACUAAUACUUAAGAGUUUAUUCAUACUUUCAUUAAGUAUAACAUAAGAUUUUGUGAUAUCCACUAGUGUAAAUAUUUUAAAUUGAAGAUCGAAUUCAUUCAUUGUAUUCAUAUAGGAUUAAGGAGUGUAGCUAUAAAAAAUAAUCAAAAUCGGAGUUAAAAUAACCGUUAAAUCGUGAUUUUUCGUUUAUAACCAUCGAAAAGUUUUGUUUGGUUACUUGAUCUCUGAAUGUUUGUUUUUUGCGAUUUUUUGUUGAUACGAUCUCGAAGUAUAUACAAACAAGUUUGACGGUUGGAUCGUUGAAAUUAGUUUUGUAUAAUUUGUAUCCCAUCAAGUUCAAUGGUGUGUGUG